rfam:Picea glauca, whole genome shotgun sequence.
ACAUGCAUACAACAUAGUGUUAAUGCAUCAGAUCCGAUUACAACUUUGUUGUUAAGCACACUCGAGAUAGAGUAGUACUGAAAUGGGUGACCACUUGGGAAGUCCUAGUAUUUUACAUGCC